rnacentral:rRNA from 1 species
AGUGAACGCUGGCGGUAGGCCUAACACACGCAAGUCGAACGGCAGCACAGGAGAGCUUGCUCUCUGGGUGGCGAGUGGCGGACGGGUGAGGAAUACAUCGGAAUCUACUCUGUCGGGGGGGAUAACGUAGGGAAACUUACGCUAAUAGCGCAUACGACCAACGGGUGAAAGCAGGGGACCUUCGGGCCUUUGGCUAUUGCAUGAGCCGAUGUCGGAUUAGCUAGUUGGCGGGGUAAAGGCUCACCAAGGCGACGAUCCGUAGCUGGUCUGAGAGGAUGAUCAGCCACACUGGAACUGAGACACGGUCCAGACUCCUAAGGGAGACAGCAGUGGGGAAUAUUGCACAAUGGGCGCAAGCCUGAUCCAGCCAUACCGCGUGGGUGAAGAAGGCCUUCGGGUUGUAAAGCCCUUUUGUUGGGAAAGAAAUCCAGCUGGCUAAUAACCGGUUGGGAUGACGGUACCCAAAGAAUAAGCACCGGCUAACUUCGUGCCAGCCGCCGCCGUAA